CGCAUAUUGCACCUUUGAGUAUUCUCUAAGGUAUACCUGUUUGAGCGUCGUUUAGAACAAUAAAGUUCAACUUUUUGUUAGAUUUUGGUUAAUUUUAAAUCAAUUUUUGAAACAUAAUGGCGUUAUUUUGUUAGCCAAAAUAUACAGUGAAAAUGUAUGUUUAGUAACAAAUAUAAUUUGCCAAUUUUAAUAUUUUUGUUCGACCUCAAAUCAAGUAAGAUUACCCGCUGAACUUAA
rnacentral:misc_RNA from 1 species